GAUGAAGAACGCAGCGAAAUGCGAUAAGUAGUGUGAAUUGCAGAAUUCAGUGAAUCAUCGAAUCUUUGGACGCACAUUGCGCCCGCCAGUAUUCUGGCGGGCAUGCCUGUUCGAGCGUCAUUUCAACCAUCAAGCCCCCGGCUUGUGUUGGGGACCUGCGGCUGCCGCAGGCCCUGAAAAGCAGUGGCGGGCUCGCUGUCACACCGAGCGUAGUAGCAUACAUCUCGCUCUGGGCGUGCUGCGGGUUCCGGCCGUUAAACCACCUUCAUAACCCAAGGUUGACCUCGGAUCAGGUAGGAAGACCCGCUGAACUUAAGCAUAUCAAUAAGCGGAGGA
rnacentral:misc_RNA from 1 species